GGUUACCUUGUUACGACUUCACCCCAAUUACUAACCCCACCUUCGGCCGCGUCCUCCUAAGUUAGACUACGGACUUCGGGUGUCGCCAGCUCUCAUGGUGUGACGGGCGGUGUGUACAAGGCCCGGGAACGUAUUCACCGCGACAUUCUGAUUCGCGAUUACUAGCAACUCCAACUUCAUGUAGGCGAGUUUCAGCCUACAAUCCGAACUGGGGGCAGUUUUUGAGGUUUGCUCCACCUCGCGGUCUUGCAUCUCUCUGUACUGCCCAUUGUAGCACGUGUGUUGCCCUGGACAUAAGGGGCAUGAUGAUUUGACGUCAUCCCUACCUUCCUCCGCGUUAACCGCGGCAGUCUUGCUAGAGUGCUCAACUUAAUGUUAGCAACUAACAACAGGGGUUGCGCUCGUUGCAGGACUUAACCUAACAUCUCACGACACGAGCUGACGACAACCAUGCACCACCUGUAUCCCUGCCCCGAAGGGCUUCUCUUAUCUCUAAGAAUAUGCAGGGUAUGUCAAGUCCAGGUAAGGUUCUUCGCGUUGCUUCGAAUUAAACCACAUGCUCCGCUGCUUGUGCGGAGCCCCCGUCAAUUCCUUUGAGUUUCAACCUUGCGGCCGUACUCCCCAGGUGGAUUACUUAUUGUGUUAACUCCGGCACGGAGGGGGUCAGACCCCCCACACCUAGUAAUCAUCGUUUACGGCAUGGACUACCAGGGUAUCUAAUCCUGUUUGCUACCCAUGCUUUCGUGCCUCAGCGUCAGUUAAAGCCCAGCAGGCCGCCUUCGCCACUGGUGUUCCUCCCGAUCUCUACGCAUUUCACCGCUACACCGGGAAUUCCGCCUGCCUCUGCUUCACUCAAGCUGCGCAGUUUCAAGUGCCAUCCAUCAGUUAAGCCGAUGGUUUUCAACACCUGACUUGCUCAGCCGCCUACGCACCCUUUACACCCAGUAAAUCCGGACAACGCUCGCUCCCUACGUAUUACCGCGGCUGCUGGCACGUAGUUAGCCGGAGCUUCCUCCCCGAUUACCGUCAUUAUCGUCACCGGGGACAGAGGUUUACAAUCCGAAGACCGUCUUCCCUCACGCGGCGUCGCUGCAUCAGAGUUUCCUCCAUUGUGCAAUAUCCCCCACUGCUGCCUCCCGUAGGAGUCUGGGCCGUCUCUCAGUCCCAAUGUGGCCGUUCAACCUCUCAGUCCGGCUACCGAUCGCUGCUUUGGUGGGCCAUUACCCCGCCAACUGGCUAAUCGGACGCGAGUCCAUCCCUCAGCGGAUUGCUCCUUUGAUUUUUCCUCCAUGCGGCGGAAAAAUUUCAUGCGGUAUUAACGUCCGUUUCCAGACGCUGUCCCCCUCUGAAGGGCAGGUUCCUCACGCGUUACUCACCCGUCCGCCACUGAAACCGGCCAGAGCAAGCUCCAGCCAAUUCCCGUUCGACUUGCAUGUGUUAGGCGCGCCGCCAGCGUUCGUCCUGAGCCAGGAUCAAACUCUA
rnacentral:rRNA from 1 species